rnacentral:rRNA from 1 species
UAUCAGCUUUAGACGGUAGGGUAUUGGCCUACCGUGGCUAUGACGGGUAACGGGGAAUUAGGGUUCGAUUCCGGAGAGGGAGCCUGAGAAACGGCUACCACAUCUAAGGAAGGCAGCAGGCGCGCAAAUUACCCAAUCCUAAUACAGGGAGGUAGUGACAAGAAAUAACAAUACAGAGCCUUACGGUUUUGUAAUUGGAAUGAGUUAAGUAUAAACCCCUUAACAAGUAUCAAUUGGAGGGCAAGUCUGGUGCCAGCAGCCGCGGUAAUUCCAGCUCCAAUAGCGUAUAUUAAAGUUGUUGCAGUUAAAAAGCUCGUAGUUAAUUUUCUGUUAAUUUUUAUAUACAAUACUACGGUAUUUAUAUAAUAUUAACAUAAUUCAUAUUACUUUUUAGUAUAUGAAACUUUACUUUGAGAAAAUUAGAGUGCUUAAAGCAGGCUAUUGCCUUGAAUACUCCAGCAUGGAAUAAUAUUAAGGAUUUUUAUUCUUCUUAUUGGUUCUAGAAUAAAAAUAAUGAUUAAUAGGGACAGUUGGGGGCAUUUGUAUUUAACAGUCAGAGGUGAAAUUCUUA